AAUGGGGUCAACCCUGAUCCAGCCAUGCCGCGUGUCUGAAGAAGGCCUUCGGGCUGUAAAGGACUUUUGUCAGGGAGCAAAACCCAGCAGCUAAUACCUGUUGGGGAUGAGAGUACCUGAAGAAUAAGCACCGGCUAACUACGUGCCAGCAGCCGCGGUAAUACGUAGGGUGCAAGCGUGAAUCGGAAUUACUGGGCGUAAAGCGUGCGCAGGCGGAUGUUUAAGCCAGAUGUGACAGCCCCGAGCUUAACUUGGGAAUUGCGUUUGGAACUGAGCAUCUAGAGUCUGUCAGAGGGGGAUGGAAUUCCACGUGUAGCAGUGAAAUGCGUAGAGAUGUGGAGGAACACCGAUGGCGAAGGCAGUCCCCUGGGAUAAGACUGACGCUCAUGCACGAAAGCGUGGGGAGCAAA
rnacentral:rRNA from 1 species